rfam:Triticum aestivum genome assembly, contig: Triticum_aestivum_CS42_TGACv1_scaffold_062091_1DL
AAAGUACUCCCUCCGUCCCAAAAUUCUUGUCUUAGAUUUGUCUAGGCACGGAUGUAUCAAGUCACAUUUUAGUAUUAGAUACAUCCGUAUCUAGACAAAUCUAAGACAAGAAAUUUGGGACAGAGGGAGUAGUUG